AUGAACGCUGGCGGCAUGCCUAACACAUGCAAGUCGAACGAGACCUUCGGGUCUAGUGGCGCACGGGUGCGUAACGCGUGGGAAUCUGCCCUUAGGUCCGGAAUAACUCAGGGAAACUUGAGCUAAUACCGGAUGAUGACGUAAGUCCAAAGAUUUAUCGCCUAAGGAUGAGCCCGCGUAGGAUUAGCUUGUUGGUGAGGUAAAAGCUCACCAAGGCGACGAUCCUUAGCUGGUCUGAGAGGAUGAUCAGCCACACUGGGACUGAGACACGGCCCAGACUCCUACGGGAGGCAGCAGUGGGGAAUAUUGGACAAUGGGCGAAAGCCUGAUCCAGCAAUGCCGCGUGAGUGAUGAAGGCCUUAGGGUUGUAAAGCUCUUUUACCCGGGAAGAUAAUGACUGUACCGGGAGAAUAAGCCCCGGCUAACUCCGUGCCAGCCGCCGCGGUAAUU
rnacentral:rRNA from 1 species